CAUGAAAUGAGCAUACACGCUCCAAAACAUAUAUUGUUAUAUGUUUAAAAUUAACAUAAUAUAGUGAUAAGUUCCUUUAAAACACGCUUUUCUAAUCUGAAAAUUACAUAAGCAGUGAUAUAUUAAAUACAACUUAAAAUCACAUAACAAUCCACCUUUAAUUACCACAAUAAACAGGCAUUGCACAAUAAGAGGUGCCAGAGGUUCAUGUAUAAUGGGAACUGUAGGGUCAAGCACAACCCAAUGAAAUCAAUAACUACUCAGUCCAGUCCACUGCUCCAAUGAAAGAGUUUUAUCCAGCUGCAGGGAGAGGUUCAUCUUGCAUGAGCAGUUGCCAAACUAGUUUUAACAUUUACAUGAAUUUGAGCAUGCAUACUGAGGACAAUAAACCUCCUUUACUGCAUGUUUCCCCUUUCGUAAUACUUCAUCUUCUUUUGCUGCUUUAUCAUUCUUUUGAAACAUUUUUAUCCUACUACUCUUCUCUAUUAAACUUGUACUCCUACUACUCUUCUCUAUUAAAAUUAUAAGAACUUGUACUCUCAGUAUCUCCUUGUACUCUCAGUAUCUCCAGCCAGAUGUGUGACAAGCCCAAGAACAUAAAUCCAGAGUGGUGAAAUUCCAGUUUUCACUUGCUUGGUAUGCCUCCAGGUAGAAUACCUCACUAUCAAGCAUCAACACCAUCAGAAGCUUUUGCUGCAAAAGGAUCAUGAGUGGGACCAACGUCCUGCCCAAUAUGGCGCUGCACCAGCCUCUGUAAAUCAGCCAUAACCUUGUGCUCACGUUUUGCCUUCUCUUCAUAGUUAAACAUAGCCAAAGCUCGCUUGUCCUCAGCACUGUAGACCUGGUUUUCUUUCCUAAUACGAAUGGCAUUCAUCCUCUGGUGCCUGCUACCACUCAUCACAUACCCGAGGCUCUCAAAUUUUUGAAUUUCUUCAGCAGAAAGACCCACUUCACCUCUACGUGGAAUACGCUUUCCUUGCUGCACAUACUGUGCAAUGGCAUCGCCUUCACCUGGCCUCAAUGCACCACCAUAAUUUAUAUGCCCCUCAGCUCUGGGUAGGGGCAUUGGCCCAACCGUAGGUUCAUUAUCCAGAGCAGGCUUCUUCUGUGCCUCGAUCAUCUCUUUUAAUAUAAGAGCAUCAGCAUUAAUUUCAGUCUUCAUCUCAUCUGGCUUUGAUUUUCCCUUUGCAUCUAUAUCAGCACCUGAACUCUUAUCUGAGUAUGAACUGGCACUCUCUGUUUCAGACCUCUUUUUCCUGCUGCGUUUAGACCCUGAAAUGCGCCUUCUCUUCUUAGACUCGUAUUCGGAUUCUUCACUCCCACUAUCAUCAGAAUCACUGUACCUACUUUUCCUCCGACUUUUUCUUUUUCUGCUACUUCUCUUGCUGCUCUUCCUUCUACUGCUGCUGCUGCUGCUGCUUUUCCGUGACUUCUUUCUGCGUCUUCGAUCCUCUUCAGAAGCUGAUUCAGUUUCAUUCCCACUCUCACUCGCAUCCUCAUCUGAUUCGCUAUCCAUAGAUGAUUUCCUGCCCCUGCGCUUAGAACUCGAUCUCCUCUUCUUCCUUGAUUCAGAAUCAUUUGAUUCAGAUUCAGACUCAGACUCAGACUCGGAUUCUGAAUCGUUGCUCACAGAUUUCCCAGACUCAGAUUCUGAUACACCCUUUCCAUCACGCGCUUUUCCUUUCUCUUUCUCGCUAAAGUCAAUCUUCUCUUCGUCUUCCCCAUACUUCUCCGAAAUCUCAUCUGGUUUGCCUUCCAAAUCUUCUUCUUCGUUCUCAUCCCUGAGUGGACUAGGGGUAAGCGUCCAAAUACAAUAUUUCGCGAUGUUCUUCCUCAUCUUCUGCCUCUUCAGCCUCCUCCGCUCUUCAAAGCUCAAACCCUUCAACUCCUCAUCGGAUUCUGAUUCGGAGUUCCUUCCAUUACGAGAGCCGCCGCGAUCGAGGUAUGCCCGCCCGCUGCCGAACUUUUUUGGCAGAGAAUCUAGGUUUUUCCUGGGCCUAGGGCUUGGGCUUCUUCUUCCAGGGCUUGAAUACUCAGGUGAGCUUGAGCGGUAGCGGCCGCGACCGGUUCCUCGGUGAAGCUCAUCGUAGCUAUGGUAGGAGGGACUUCGGCGGUCCCGCUGGCGGUAGUAGUCAGCGGAGGUGUCGGAUUCAGGUGUAUAACGCUCGCUUUGGCGUUCUGGACGAUACCGGCGAUCAGGAAUUUCAAUCGUCGACGUUGGUCUGCUCAUCAUUGGGGAUUAGGGUAAGUGCGCAAGCAGCGUCUCGGCUCUAAAAC
rnacentral:misc_RNA from 1 species